CAGCCGCCGCGGGAAUACGUAGGGCGCAAGCGUUAUCCGGAAUUAUUGGGCGUAAAGAGCUCGUAGGCGGUUUGUCGCGUCUGCCGUGAAAGUCCGGGGCUCAACCCCGGAUCUGCGGUGGGUACGGGCAGACUAGAGUGAUGUAGGGGAGACUGGAAUUCCUGGUGUAGCGGUGAAAUGCGCAGAUAUCAGGAGGAACACCGAUGGCGAAGGCAGGUCUCUGGGCAUUAACUGACGCUGAGGUGCGAAAGCGUGGGGAGCAAACAGGAUUAGAUACCCCAGUAGUCCCUGUCUCUUAUAC
rnacentral:rRNA from 1 species